rnacentral:lncRNA from 1 species
UUUUGAAAACCUGAACCCAUGGUAUGCCAGAUCCGCCACAAAUACAAGGAUUCUACUGUUCACACGGACAGAGUCUCCCCUGUAUUUGCACGGCGUCGCACAAGUACAAGAGUAUAACCAGGAUACAACCGCCACACUGAACAUACAGACAUCCAAUAUCUAUAUAUAUCCAUACACCAUUCAACACAGGUUCACAUUCAUGAUUUAAACAUAAAAUCACAACUAUUAGUUAAAACGUUUCCCACUCAGAAACUGGUUUUGAAAUACUAAAUUAUGAAAACUACGAAAAACCUUUUGAAAACUGUUUCCCACACGAAAACUCUCUUCUUUUUAAAAUGCUACCACGAGGGUUUUUUUUCCUUUUCACAAAAUCCACAAGUUCUAUAGUUCAUUCAAA